ACGGGAGGCAGCAGUGGGGAAUAUUGGGCAAUGGGCGAAAGCCUGACCCAGCGACGCCGCGUGAGGGAAGAAGGUCUUCGGAUUGUAAACCUCUUUCAGCAGGGAAGAAGCAAGUGACGGUACCUGCAGAAGAAGUCACGGCUAACUACGUGCCAGCAGCCGCGGUAAUACGUAGGUGGCGAGCGUGAUCCGGAAUUACUGGGUGUAAAGGGUGGGUAGGCGGAGGAGCAAGUCAGGAGUGAAAUUUCCGGGCUUAAGCCGGAAACUGCGCUUGAGACUGUUCCCCUUGAGAGUGGGAGAGGUAAACGGAAUUCCUGGUGUAGUGGUGAAAUGCGUAGAUAUCAGGAGGAACACCGGUGGCGAAGGCGGUUUACUGGACCGCAACUGACGCUGAGACACGAAAGCGUGGGGAGCAAACAGGAUUAGAUACCCUGGUA
rnacentral:rRNA from 1 species